UAAAGGAGAGAUCCGGCAUAGGAUGGACAUGCGUCGCAUUAGGUAGACGGCGGGGUAACGCCCCACCGUGCCGACGAUGCGUAGGGGUUCUGAGAGGAAGGUCCCCCACACUGGUACUGAGACACGGACCAGACUCCUACGGGAGGCAGCAGUGAGGAAUAUUGGUCAAUGGCCGAGAGGCUGAACCAGCCAAGUCGCGUGAGGGAAGAAUGUCCUAAGGAUUGUAAACCUCUUUUGUCGGGGAGCAAAAAGGCUCUGCGGAGUCGUAUUGAGAGUACCCGAAGAAAAAGCAUCGGCUAACUCCGUGCCAGCAGCCGCGGUAAUACGGAGGAUGCGAGCGUUAUCCGGAUUUAUUGGGUUUAAAGGGUGCGCAGGCGGCGUGUCAAGCAAGCGGUAAAAUAGCGGGGCUCAACCCCGUCGAGCCGUUUGAACUGGCGCGCUUGAGUUCAGGCGAGGUAGGCGGAAUUCGUGGUGUAGCGGUGAAAUGCAUAGAUAUCACGAAGAACUCCGAUUGCGAAGGCAGCUUACCAGUCUGCGACUGACGCUCAGGCACGAAAGUGUGGGUAUCGAACAGGAUUAGAUACCCUGGUAGUCCACACAGU
rnacentral:rRNA from 1 species